rnacentral:rRNA from 1 species
CCUACGGGCUGCAGCAGUGGGGAAUAUUGGACAAUGGGCGAAAGCCUGAUCCAGCCAUGCCGCGUGUUUGAAGAAGGCCUUCGGGUUGUAAAGCACUUUCAGUGGGGAAGAAAGCCUUGGGGCUAAUACCCUCGAGGAAGGACAUCACCCACAGAAGAAGCACCGGCUAACUCCGUGCCAGCAGCCGCGGUAAUACGGAGGGUGCGAGCGUUAAUCGGAAUUACUGGGCGUAAAGCGCGCGUAGGCGGUCUGAUAAGCCGGUUGUGAAAGCCCCGGGCUCAACCUGGGAACGGCAUCCGGAACUGUCAGGCUAGAGUGCAGGAGAGGAAGGUAGAAUUCCCGGUGUAGCGGUGAAAUGCGUAGAGAUCGGGAGGAAUACCAGUGGCGAAGGCGGCCUUCUGGACUGACACUGACGCUGAGGUGCGAAAGCGUGGGUAGCAAACAGGAUUAGAUACCCUAGUAGUC